CAGAAACCUCAGCUCGCAACACAGGAAGUCCCUUGCGCGCUGCACGGCGAAUAGAGAGCCGAGUGCGACCUUAGGCGUCUUUGCUGAGUCAGCGGGAGCUGUUCCUGAGAGCUGAGGACCUCCUCAUCAUUCUCGACGACGUCGCCACCACCGACCUGAGCUUCGACCCGGAGUACACAUCUACUGUGGAAGCCUAGCAAGUCGGCUGGGAGAGGCGGUGACGAGGAAUCCAGGGUGGCUGCAUCCCAGGACAAGGAGAACCUGAACGCCGGAGCUUGUGGCUGAACCUCCAAGAUGACACUUCCGACAAUUCAUCACUGGGGGCAGUAAGCGGUAAAGAGAGCACAUUCCAGGCAUGGGAGGUGAACCGCUGCAUUUACCUUCUGUCACGAUGCCAAGUCCUGGUUUGGGAGCCGAGCUGAAUCACAAACUCAGUAAAGUACCAGAUGACUUUGCAGGAAUGUGGUUUUCUGAGCAUUUUUUCCCUGGAAAACUAGUCAAGACCAUAUUUUAAUCUGUGAUCACUGGCGUAUAAUUAUAGAUUUACCAGACGUAAGUUCUAGCAACCCUGUGUUUAUUUACACUUUGGUUCAGGUCUGGACGUUGAAGGCUCAUUGGUCUUGCUCUGUAUGCAACUUUCAGAUCUGUUUAAAUCUAGGUUUUGUGGUUUUAUCUCUUCUUAUUUAUUCUGACACACAUUUGAGGAGCUGGAAUUUAACCUUUGGUUAAGUUGCAAACAUUUGAGUCCUAUGCUGGGGGGUACGACGUGCUUUUACUUGCUGUGAAGUCAAAAAAUGAAGUAUUUACUGUACAGUAACAGGCCAUGAUUAAACUGAAAUGCCUUUAA